rnacentral:tRNA from 1 species
GCUGGGAUAGCUCACUCGGUAGAGCAUGAGACUCUUAAUCUCAGGGUCAUGGGUUUGAGCCCCACUGUGGGUA